UACGUAGGGGGCAAGCGGUUGUCCGGAAUUAUUGGGCGUAAAGAGCGCGUAGGCGGUCCGAUAAGUCGGCUGUGAAAGUCAGGGGCUCAACCCUUGAAAGCCGGCCGAUACUGUCGGACUAGAGUCCGGAAGAGGCAAGUGGAAUUCCCGGUGUAGCGGUGAAAUGCGCAGAUAUCGGGAGGAACACCAAUGGCGAAGGCAGCUUGCUGGGACGGUACUGACGCUGAG
rnacentral:rRNA from 1 species